rnacentral:rRNA from 1 species
UACAGAGGUGGCAAGCGUUGUUCGGAAUUACUGGGCGUAAAGGGCGCGUAGGCGGUCUUGUAAGUCUCGUGUGAAAUCCCUCGGCUUAACUGAGGAACUGCACGGGAUACUGCUUGACUUGAGUUCGGGAGAGGGAAGCGGAAUUCCGGGUGUAGCGGUGAAAUGCGUAGAUAUCUGGAGGAACACCGGUGGCGAAGGCGGCAUCCUGGACCGGUAUUGACGCUGAGGCGCGAAAGCCAGGGGAGCAAACGGG